GGGUGCGAUCAUACCAGCACUAAUGCACCGGAUCCCAUCAGAACUCCGCAGUGAAACGUGCUUGGGCGAGAGUAGUACUAGGAUGGGUGACCUCUCGGGAAGUCCUCGUGUUGCACCCC
rnacentral:rRNA from 1 species